GCCCGGGUAGUUCAGUGGUAGAACGCCUACUUGGUAAGUAGGUGGUCGGGGGUUCAAUCCCCCCCCCGGGCU
rnacentral:tRNA from 1 species